UACGUAGGGGGCUAGCGUUGUCCGGAAUCAUUGGGCGUAAAGCGCGUGUAGGCGGUCCGGUAAGUCCGCUGUGAAAGGCGGGGGCUCAACCCUCGGAUGCCGGUGGAUACUGUCGGGCUUGAGUACGGAAGAGGCGAGUGGAAUUCCUGGUGUAGCGGUGAAAUGCGCAGAUAUCAGGAGGAACACCAAGUGCGAAGGCAGCUCGCUGGGACGUUACUGACGCUGAGACGCGAAAGCGUGGGGAGCAAACAGG
rnacentral:rRNA from 1 species